rnacentral:lncRNA from 1 species
GAAGAGAGUGUAAUUGGAGAACAGAAGAGGGAGUUUUGGGAAAAAAUGCAGAUAAGUUGAUUGGGGCAAAAUAUCUAGAGUUCUGGCUCUCUGAUUAGAAGCAUGUUUCUAAAAUAGUACCACUUCUCCUUCUUAUUUCUUAAAAUUUCUAUGAAUUUUUAUUUUAUUUUUUCAAAAAAAUUUCUUUUUAAAUUGGCACAUAAUUAUUGAACCCAGCCUCUUCUAUACUUUUUGAUGUGCAUUUUUGAUACUAUCUCCAUUUUCAUCAUAUUUGUUCUCAAGGUUUUUCAAGAUCCUUGUUUCCAAAUAACAUACUCAGCUUAUCAAGGCAAGAAGGUGAUCUCUGGAAUCAUAGAAUUAGUCCCAAUAACCAGGCUUCUACUAAAAGUCACAUAUCACUUAUCCGAAAGAUGCAGUUUAUCGGUCCUUUUACUCCAGGCGUCUGAGCAUUAUUGUGAACCAAGUAAGAGUAAGCAUGUGGUCUCACUUCCCUUUCUCUUCCCCCUGUUCAUUCAUUAAGUCAGUGAACAUUUGAUAGCCUAUUAUGUAUCAUAUACCAUGCUAGGCACUAGAGAUUCAAAGACUAAUAAAACAGAGUCCCUGUCCUAAUGGAGCUCAUUAUUUAGAAAAGAAGUUCAUUGACAUAAAAAAUGUGUGAUAGGGAUGAUGAGAACUAUGAUAAAGAUAAUACAGAAACCAAAGGGCAAGGAGCAAGGGAACUUGAUGGGAGUGUUUCAUAUACAAUCCCCUGUAAAGAAUUUAGAGUGACUUCUGGGUGAAUAGCAACAUCUAUUUCCUUUGGCUCUUAAAUCUACAUUUAAUCGACACCAAAAGAUCUCUUAUUGUUACUGAAAUCCUGAUGGACCCUUCUAAAUGAGGAAAUAACAAGAGUUCCUUGCCCUAUUGGAUAUCAAGGCAUUUUCUAUGCCUGUUUUAGUUUAUGACGUUUCUUAGUCCAUGUUAUUUUAGCUGAUCAAUGAGAUACUCUUACACCAUUUGCAUUGAUUGUCACACUGAAUCGAUCAUGAAGCCAGAUACCCUUACUUCGUUUAAUUUCAUUGUCAGAUUGGAUUGAUCAUAGAGAAGUUCAGUUAAAUGGCUGAUGAUCAGCCACAACAUGACUAUUUGUUCAAUAUUUUCUUAGGUAGCCUAGUAAUACAGACACUAUUACUAUACCAGUGGCAUUCAAGGGUAUAAAGCUGACAAUUUUUUCAUGUCCUCUGGUGGUGAUUCUUGUAAAUUAUUUCCACCAGUUGGUUAUGCAUGGCUGAGACUUGAAUAUGGAGAAAUCUCACCCAAAUGUACUUAACCUAGGAAAAUAAAUGAACGUCACAGUCAAUAGAAACGUGUGUAUCUAUGUGGAUGGGCUUAAAUGAGGAAGUAGAUAAUUGUGACCAGACUAAAACCAGAGGUUUGAAGAUAUCAGAAAGAAAGCAGAGCCAUACUGUUGGGGUGUGGUCGCUCAUGCCUGUAAUCCAAGCACCUUGGGAGACCCAGGUGGGCAGAUCACUUGAGGCCAGGAGUUCGAGAACAGUCUCGCCAACAUGGCAAAACCCAGUCUCUCCUAAAACUAUAAAAGUUAGCCAGGCGUGGUGGUGCACACUUGUAAUCCCAGCUAUGCAGGAGGCUAAGGCACAAGAAUUGCUUGAACCCGGGAGGUAGAGGUUGCAGCGAGACUGCACCACUACACUCCAGCCUAGGCAACAGAGCAAUACUCCAUCCCAAAAAAGAAAAGAAAGGAAAACAAAGAAAGAAAGCAGAACCAUACUAUAUGAUUAUUUAAAUGAACCACUGACAGUGGUUGGAUUUUUAUGUUCUCUCUAAUGCUGGAAACGUGAGAAGGAUAACUCUAGUUAAAUGACUAUGUAGACAAUACUGGUGACAGCUUCUAAAGCUGGUAACUCAGCUUAUGUCCCAUGCCUUCUUGGAAACCUUAAGCAUUCUUAUUGUGGAAAGAGUCCCAUAAAAUUUAAACAGUCAGUGCGGGUAAGCUAAACCUAAAUGCAACCAUUUUAUUUAUUCUUUUUGGCCUUUUAUGAGACCAAUUAUUUAUUUCAGCACACUUUCUUAUUCAGAGACAUUAUAAGGAUAUCAAAGU